UACGUAGGUGGCAAGCGUUGUCCGGAUUUAUUGGGUUUAAAGGGUGCUUCGGCGGUUCAAUAAGUCCGUGGUGAAAUACGGCAGCUCAACUGUCGAGGUGCCAUUGAUACUGUGGAACUUGAGUACAGACGAGGUAGGCGGAAUUGACGGUGUAGCGGUGAAAUGCUUAGAUAUCGUCAAGAACACCGAUAGCGAAGGCAGCUUACUAGGCUGUAACUGACGCUGAGGCACGAAAGUGUGGGGAUCAAACAGG
rnacentral:rRNA from 1 species